rnacentral:rRNA from 1 species
AUUGAACGCUGGCGGCAGGCCUAACACAUGCAAGUCGAGCGGAUGAAGGGAGCUUGCUCCUGGAUUCAGCGGCGGACGGGUGAGUAAUGCGUAGGAAUCUGCCUGGUAGUGGUGGAUAACGUCCGGAAAAGGGCGCUAAUACCGCAUACGUCCUGAGGGAGAAAGUUGGGGAUCUUCGGAGCUCACGCUAUCAGAUGAGGCUAGGUCGGAUUAGCUAGUUGGUGGGGUAAAGGCCUACCAAGGCGACGAUCCGUAACUGGGCUGGGAGGAUGGUCAGUCACCCGGGAAGUGAGACACGCACAAGGGUCCUACGGGAGGGCGCAGUGGGGAACGGUGGACAAUGGGGGAGAGCAUUACCCAGCGGGCGAGAGCGUGUGGAGAAGGUCUCGGGUUUGGAAAGAAGGUUUUCGGGGGAGGAACGGCAGUAAGUUAAGACGUAGCUAUAUUGACGGUACCAACAGAAGAAGCACCGGCUAACUACGUG